rnacentral:tRNA from 1 species
GGUUCCGUGGUGUAGGGGUUAACAUGCCUGCCUGUCACGCAGGAGAUCGCGGGUUCAAAGCCCGUCGGGACCG